rnacentral:lncRNA from 1 species
UCUAUUUAAUCCUAAUGUGAGGUUUACAAUGCGCGAAUGAACCGACUACCAACACGGAUCGAUUCACGAACCAACAACUCUCCACAUAUGUGACAUCACAUAAUAACAACUUUUUCAAGCCAAAUAGUCUCGUACUAAAGUAACACAACAAUCUUAAUUCAAACACAAGUGUUGAGACGAAUAUUAAAACAACACCGACACUGAACUUAAGACCUUUAAACCUACAGAUCUCAAC